ACAACCAUAUCACAUUGAAACACUGGUUCCCAUACAAUCACUGGAGUUAAAUAACAUUGAGCCUGGUCAGUACCUAGAUGGGUGACCACUUCAGAAUAUUAGGUGCUGUAAU
rnacentral:rRNA from 1 species